rnacentral:lncRNA from 1 species
GUGUAUUGAUCUUUGAUGAGGCGGUGAUCCCAAUUUGACUUUUUUUAUUCUCAAGAACUCUAACCCAAGACCUUAAUGAGUAGAGAAAUUUCAACCAUCCUACCAAUGCGAUUCAUCUCCGUUCUAGAAAUUUUGUUUGAUUGUGUGUAUUGUAUUUAUUCUUUAUCACUUUUUUUCACCAAAGAUUUUUUAAAUAUUUAAAAGAAGACUACCUGUCAAUAUCUGAAUGAGCCUUCAUGUCUGUGCCUGAUAUGGGAACUCUUGUUCUCUUCCUCAGAUGAUAAUAAUGCACGCCGUUAUAUUAAUAAAAAAUAUAGUAUUAUGGUUCCCAGAGAGCUGAUUCAUGUAAUCUUUAUCCUCUUGUGUUGACUAUUUCCUCUGAAUCAGAAAUUCGUGGGUUCAUCUGAGACAUGCAAAUAUUAUACUAUUAUUUCAUAGUUUGCUGGAAUUCAUACUACUACCUUGUAUUUUAUGAAAUUGUAUCAUGCACCUAAAUUUGUUUAGAAAAAAAUAAUCAUUGCGUGCACCCUGGGGUGAAUUAAAGGUAGAUAUACAGUGCUUUGAACCUAUAAUUUCAUGGCAAAACUAG